CUUGAACAAGCUGCAUAAACUCUUUAAGUCUCAGUCUCCUCAUCUGUAAUAUGGGUAUAUUAGUAAAAACCCAUGUGAUGUGAUGAAUUGGGCUGACACAUGUGAAGUGCCUGACAUGUAAGUACACCGUCACUGUUAGACAAUACUACCUUUGGAGCUCUCACGGAAGAGACAUAGCCCUGCCCCCUGUUUGAGGAAAGAUAUAAAGCUGUGUUUUCGGGAACCCCCAGUCCGAAGGAGAGACCCCCUUGCUUAACAUCACCAGGGCCGGGAGAAGGAGGAGGGCAGGAUGGAGUGGACCACAAGCUAGAGAAAGGUGGUCUCUAGCACCAGGUUAAUUUUGAAAGACUCUCCCGUACGGUCAAUUUCAUUGUCUACACACACACACACACACACACACACACACACAC
rnacentral:lncRNA from 10 species